rnacentral:rRNA from 1 species
UACGGAGGGGGCUAGCGUUGUUCGGAAUUACUGGGCGUAAAGCGCGCGUAGGCGGCUUUGUAAGUUAGAGGUGAAAGCCCGGGGCUCAACUCCGGAAUUGCCUUUAAGACUGCAUCGCUAGAAUUGUGGAGAGGUGAGUGGAAUUCCGAGUGUAGAGGUGAAAUUCGUAGAUAUUCGGAAGAACACCAGUGGCGAAGGCGACUCACUGGACACAUAUUGACGCUGAGGUGCGAAAGCGUGGGGAGCAAACAGG